AUAUCCCUUGGUCAGCAAGGCUGUGGGGAUAUUGGCAGAAAAAGUGAAAUAAAAUACACUCUGUAGUAGUUCUACUAAUGUAAAUCUGUGUGUUUUGCCAUGACAGUGACUUGUUAUGGGAUGUGCAGAUGAAACUCUGCAUUGACAACAAAGUACAAGGAAUAAGGUUGGUCAGGUGCCUCCUACCAUAGUCAAGGGCAAGACUGGGUUGGCCUCUGUGUUUGCCACCAAGAAGAAUCUUGAGCUCUGCUGUUGGCUGCAACCCAGUAGGCGUUGAGUGGUGGGAACAUAUGCCAUGCCAGACCUUGAUGUGAGGAAUGGCCCACUCUGAGGCACUGAUUUGGAAAUUGGAAACUGCCUGGCCGACCAUGAGGCCAGACGAGUAACAGAGGAGGUAGGAAAGGAGGAAUUAUCCUUAAUACCAGACGAUAAAAUCCAAACUGUAAGUACAGAUCAGGAGCCAAACUAUUCUAAAGAAAACUUAAAGCCCUAUUAUUAAUAAGACGCAUUGGGGAGCUGAUACUUUAUAUAAAAGUCUAAAUCAGAAAUUGAUAGGGCGAAACUUUUAUACUGUAAUAAAACAGGUGACUCAGCAAUGUGAAAUGUCUUUACGCAAUAAUCCCAAUACAGCAAAUAAAAUAAAACUAGGGAACAUUAGUAGAGGAAAUGUUCCAGGGCAACACUGGCAGAUCGAUUUCUCGGAACU